rnacentral:rRNA from 1 species
CCUACGGGAGGCAGCAGUGAGGAAUAUUGGUCAAUGGCCGGAAGGCUGAACCAGCCAAGCCGCGUGAAGGACGAAGGUGCCAAGCAUUGUAAACUUCUUUUGUCAAGGGACAAAAUCAGGCUCGAGAGCCUGACCGAGGGUACUUGAAGAAAAAGCAUCGGCUAACUCCGUGCCAGCAGCCGCGGUAAUACGGAGGAUGCGAGCGUUAUCCGGAUUGAUUGGGUUUAAAGGGUGCGUAGGCGGGCUGUUAAGUCAGCGGUAAAAGCCCGGGGCUCAACCCCGGCGAGCCGUUGAAACUGGCUGUCUUGAGAUGUCGAGAGGUAUGCGGAAUGCGCAGUGUAGCGGUGAAAUGCUUAGAUAUUGCGCAGAACUCCGAUUGCGAAGGCAGCAUACCGGCGGCGAUCUGACGCUGAGGCACGAAAGCGUGGGUAUCGAACAGGAUUAGAUACCCGGGUAGUC